GAGAGUUAAACAGUACGUGAAAUUGUUGAAAGGGAAACGAUUGAAGCCAGUCGUACCUUCGGGUAAUCAGCCUUUCGGGUGCGAUUCUGUGGAGUGUGAGGAGCUUAAACACCUUCAUGUUUUGCAUAUUCGUACUCUUGGGUGUACUUGCCCGUGUGGUUGGUUAACAUCAAUUUUGGUGGUCAUAAAAUGACUGGGGGAAUGUAGCUUCGAUCUUGUAUUGAAGUGUUAUAGCCUUCGGUAGAUGUGAUGAUCGAGAUUGAGGAUUGCAACGGAUACCCUUUGGGGCUACCUGUCUGAUCUCUGAUCGUUGCUUUGGUGCCGAAAGCUUGCUUACGGUUAUCAAAGUCGAUGGUCAAUAGGUUAGAACGGGUUAAAUUCGUUAAGGAUGUUGACGUAAUGGCUUUAAACGA
rnacentral:rRNA from 1 species